UGCAGUCGAACGGAGUUCUUCGGAACUUAGUGGCGGACGGGUGAGUAACGCGUGAGAAUCUGGCUUCAGGUUCGGGACAACAGUCGGAAACGAUUGCUAAUACCGGAUGUGCCCUAGGGUGAAAGAUUUAUCACCUGAAGAUGAGCUCGCGUCUGAUUAGCUAGUUGGUGUGGUAAGAGCGCACCAAGGCACCGAUCAGUAGCUGGUCUGAGAGGAUGACCAGCCACACUGGGACUGAGACACGGCCCAGACUCCUACGGGAGGCAGCAGUGGGGAAUUUUCCGCAAUGGGCGAAAGCCUGACGGAGCAAUACCGCGUGAGGGAGGAAGGCUCUUGGGUUGUAAACCUCUUUUCUCAGGGAAUAAGUACUGAAGGUACCUGAGGAAUCAGCAUCGGCUAACUCCGUGCCAGCAGCCGCGGUAAUACGGAGGAUGCAAGCGUUAUCCGGAAUGAUUGGGCGUAAAGCGUCCGCAGGUGGUUUUUCAAGUCUGCUGUCAAAGAAUCUGGCUCAACCAGAUAAAGGCAGUGGAAACUGAAAGACUAGAGUAUGGUAGGGGUAGAGGGAAUUCCUGGUGUAGCGGUGAAAUGCGUAGAGAUCAGGAAGAACACCGGUGGCGAAAGCGCUCUGCUGGACCAUAACUGACACUGAGGGACGAAAGCUAGGGGAGCGAAUGGGAUUAGAUACCCCAGUAGUCCUAGCCGUAAACGAUGGAUACUAGGCGUUGCCCGUAUCGACCCGGGCAGUGUCGUAGCCAACGCGUUAAGUAUCCCGCCUGGGGAGUACGCACGCAAGUGUGAAACUCAAAGGAAUUGACGGGGGCCCGCACAAGCGGUGGAGUAUGUGGUUUAAUUCGAUGCAACGCGAAGAACCUUACCAGGGCUUGACAUGUCCGGAAUCUUCUGGAAACGGAAGAGUGCCUACGGGAGCCGGAACACAGGUGGUGCAUGGCUGUCGUCAGCUCGUGUCGUGAGAUGUUGGGUUAAGUCCCGCAACGAGCGCAACCCUCGUUCUUAGUUGCCAGCAAUUCGGUUGGGCACUCUAGGGAGACUGCCGGUGACAAACCGGAGGAAGGUGGGGAUGACGUCAAGUCAGCAUGCCCCUUACGUCCUGGGCUACACACGUACUACAAUGCUGUGACAAAGGGCAGCAAGCUAGCAAUAGCAAGCAAAUCCCAUAAACCACGGCUCAGUUCAGAUCGCAGGCUGCAACUCGCCUGCGUGAAGGAGGAAUCGCUAGUAAUUGCAGGUCAGCAUACUGCAGUGAAUUCGUUCCCGGGCCUUGUACACACCGCCCGUCACACCAUGGAAGCUGGUCACGCCCGAAGUCGUUACCCUAACCCCUCGGGGAGGGGGAUGCCGAAGGUAGGACUGGGGACUGGGGCGAUUUGGUAACAAGGUAGCCGUACCGGAAGGUGUGGCUGGAUCACCUCCUUUUUAGGGAGACCCACUUUUGAGUUAGUUAGAAGCAGUUAAUUAGUAACUGAUAACUCAAGAGCCAUCCCGAGGUCGGUCAUUAGUCAAGAGUGCAAGCUUUCAAACUAUUUUUGGUUCACCUCAAUUUUCUAGCAUAAACUCAAAAAUAAAUUUAAUUUCUUAGCUAUGCCUAACAUAUUUGAUUUGUGGAUAUUUUAAGUAACGGCUAGACUAUUUACUGAUAGACAGUAUAUUUAAGGGAAUAAGGUUUCAGCAUCUUGUGAAGAUAAGCAUGAAUGCUGGGAAAUUUCCAGCAAAAGAACCUUGAAAACUGCAUAGAAACGCGAAAAAUGUCAGGUAGUUAACUAUCAACAACAGUUAACACUCCAAGCAAAAGCAGCAUUGAUUUGUUUGUAGUCUAGCAAGAAAAGGCGAAUGGUGGAUACCUUGGCACACAGAGGUGAAG
rnacentral:rRNA from 1 species